UACGAAGGGUGCAAGCGUUAAUCGGAAUUACUGGGCGUAAAGCGCGCGUAGGUGGUUUGUUAAGUUGGAUGUGAAAGCCCCGGGCUCAACCUGGGAACUGCAUCCAAAACUGGCAAGCUAGAGUAUGGCAGAGGGUGGUGGAAUUUCCUGUGUAGCGGUGAAAUGCGUAGAUAUAGGAAGGAACACCAGUGGCGAAGGCGACCACCUGGGCUAAUACUGACACUGAGGUG
rnacentral:rRNA from 1 species